rnacentral:tRNA from 1 species
GCCCGGGUGGCGGAAUGGCAGACGCGCACGACUCAAAAUCGUGUGUCGAAAGGCAUGCGAGUUCGACUCUCGCCCCGGGCACCA